rnacentral:rRNA from 1 species
UACGGAGGAUGCAAGCGUUAUCCGGAAUGAUUGGGCGUAAAGCGUCCGCAGGUGGCUGUGUAAGUCUGCUGUUAAAGAGUGAGGCUCAACCUCAUAAAGGCAGUGGAAACUACAUAGCUAGAGUGCGUUCGGGGCAGAGGGAAUUCCUGGUGUAGCGGUGAAAUGCGUAGAGAUCAGGAAGAACACCGGUGGCGAAGGCGCUCUGCUAGGCCGCAACUGACACUGAGGGACGAAAGCUAGGGGAGCGAAUGGG